UACGUAGGGUGCGAGCGUUGUCCGGAAUUACUGGGCGUAAAGAGCUCGUAGGUGGUUUGUCGCAUUGUUCGUGAAAACUCACAGCUUAACUGUGGGCGUGCGGGCGAUACGGGCAGACUGGAGUACUGCAGGGGAGACUGGAAUUCCUGGUGUAGCGGUGGAAUGCGCAGAUAAUCAGGAGGAACACCGGUGGCGAAGGCGGGGUCUCUGGGCAGUAACUGACGCUGAGGAGCGAAAAGCGUGGGGGAGCGAAACAGG
rnacentral:rRNA from 1 species